UACGUAGGGUGCAAGCGUUGUCCGGAAUUAUUGGGCGUAAAGGGCUCGUAGGCGGUCCAUCGCGUCGGGAGUGAAAAGCUGGGGCUUAACCCCAGUCCUGCUUCCGAUACGGGUGGACUAGAGGUAGGUAGGGGAGAACGGAAUUCCUGGUGUAGCGGUGAAAUGCGCAGAUAUCAGGAGGAACACCGGUGGCGAAGGCGGGUCUCUGGGCCGAAAUUGACGCUGAGGAGCGAAAGCGUGGGGAGCGAACAGG
rnacentral:rRNA from 1 species